UGCAGGUGACGUGACCAGCUCCACCUUAGGCACAGGGGCCACUCGGGAGAAUGUCUCUCCAUAGGCAGCCUGGUCGGGCCUCCUGCACUGUGAAGCCCCUGAGAUACCUGGGGUGAGAGCCACUGGUGCCCAGGAGAUGAGGAGACAACACAGUGCACAGGGCCUCAGUGCCCAGCAGCUGGGCCGAGCUGGGCAUGGACACCUUGCUGCCUAAGCUAGUGUCAUCCGUUGGAUUAUCCUGUGCACAUUUCAAAAAGAAAGCCACCGGCUGAGUGUGAUGGUCCACGCCUGUGACUCCAGCACUCUGCAAGGCUGAGGCAGAAAGAUCUAAAGUUCAAGCCCUGAUUGAACAACUCAGUGAGACCCUGUCUCAGGGCAAAAAAUUAAAAAAUGCCUGUGCCACAGAAAAAGAGACAAAAAGAAAACAGCAAAAGAAAAAGGGAGACAAGGGACAACCCAUAUCAUUCACAGGGCAUUAUCUCUCCACACUGGCACAGCCUGGUGGGAUGGGUAACCAGAUCUAGCCCCCCCCGUGUCUCUCAAUCUCUUUCUCUCUGUCUCUGUCUCUCUCUCUCUUGAUUUCUCUCCUCUCUCCUCUCUCUCUCUCUCUCUCUCUCUCUCCCAAAUCCUAGGACAGAAGGACACAAAGUCAAAAGCAGUUGCUCUCACCUAACCCCUCUGUGCUGUCCUGAUGCAAGCCCCUCCCUGAGCUCCUUGGUUUCCCACCGAGUUCCUUUUUAGGGGCUAAACUGAGUGUCAUAAACAACAGAAAUUUUAUUGUUGCACAGUCCUGGGGUCCAGGAGUCUGUAAUCAAGGUGACCCGAGGCCUCUUCUUUGGUUGCGGAUGGCCAUCUUCAUGUCCUUGUGCUGUCAUUCUUCACUGAGGAGCCUGCCUCCAAAUUGCCCCUUUUUAUAAGACGCCAGUCAUUUGGACUAGCACCCACCCUAAUGACCUCAUCUUGAUGAAUUAUAUCUUCAACAACUGCAUUUCCAAAUAAGGUCAAUCCUGAGAUACUGGAGGUUAAGGGUUCAACAUACAGCCUUUGGGGGUUCCAUUCAAUUCCUAAUACUUUCUUUUCCUAGCCAGUUCCCUGCCACCCUGUCAGCUCUGGGGACUUCCUUAAACCUUUCUCAAUGCAUUCUCUUUGUUUCUCGGAACUUCUCCAAAGUCUGUUUGUGUGGCCAGCAAUCCAAGAACUUUGACCCACAGGCCUACCAGUGGCAGAGGUGUGCCCUGCCCUUGACACGUCUCUGAUCCUCUGGGCACUGUGACAGGUCAGAUGCCAUCUCAGCCUGCAAGGCUUCCUUGCAGGAGUCAGGGGGAGUUGCCAGGCCAGUGUGGCUCCGAGGCCAUACCUCAGAGGGGGCUGCCUAGGGACCUGGAUGCAGGCUGCUGGGGUGCAAAUACCCCCAGAAGGUAAGGAGUCUGGCAGAGCACUGAUGGUCAGCCACAGUCUUCCAAAUUCUGAGCCUGGGGCCUCAUUUUCUACAACAAAAUCUCCCAAGUGUGCCUUUCCGAUUGGACCUGUGGGCCAGCCUGGCUGGGAGGGGCCGGACUGCUCUGCUGGGCCUUGGUAACCAGAGCAGCUCCAGUAGCCUCUGUCUCCAGGUCCUGCACUCUGUCCUGACCCCAGCAGGGGCAAAGCCCACGGUGUCUUCUCCUCCCCUCCCCAGCCUUGCUGAGUGAGAGAUGCAGACCAUUCUGAGUUGUGGGACCCAUUAAUAACAGCAGCCAAAUGUAUUACACCAAGCACUUUACAUGUGCUGUCUCACACAGCCUUCACACCAACCAUACGGCACAUGUGCAUUAUAACUGCAUCCUUUAGAUGUGCCAAUGAGUGUUCAGUUACUAACUCAAGGUCAGGUUGCUAGGGAAGAGCAGGAGCCGGAUGCAUCUCAUGUGCAGUCACCUCUGGCACCCUCUUCCUGGCCAACACCCUACCUCUGGGCUGGACGAUGGAGUAGCUCAGAGUGGGUUCGGGUGACGACAGACUUCACAGACGUUCCUUGUACUUUGGGUUACUUCCAAAGUAGGUGUGAAGUUGAGGAAUGCAAUUUUGAUGCAGAUAAGUAGAUAUACAACCCAUCCCUUCCCCUGAAUUUCAUGAAGGACCCCCAAAAUCCUGGGGUUUGGGGAGCCCAGGUGUAAAGAGCUGUUAGCUGUCUAGAGACACAUUGAAAUGUGGGCUGACUACUUGAAUAUCCUCAGCCACAUCAGCACCCAGAAAUAACUUGAAAUGCCUUAUAAAGCAAUAAUUCUGUGAUGGUGAUUCACAUCACCAAACCUCAUGCAAUGUGGGGGUUCCAGGCCUUGAAUUCUUGUGGUGUCAAUCCUAGGGGAGUUUCCUCUUUUGGCACCUGUGUUGUGUAGGGCCCAGAGUUUCCUGUCCUAUCCACUUGAGGACUUUCUGUGCACAGGGCUGGACUUUCUGUGACCCUGUCCCUCAGGCCUGUGGCUGGGGCUAGGGCCCAUUGACAGAAGCUCUGUGAAUGAGGGUGGCCAUUCACCAGUGGCAGCGUCACGUGUCCCUCUGCAGUUGAGGAACUCCUGGAAAGGAAGCCUAGCUUCUGAGUACGUCAGAAAGCCCCUGUGAUGGUUGGUUUGUAUCCAUUUGACUGGGCUAUGGGAUGCCCAGAUAGCUGGUCAGACAUUAUUUCUUGGUGCGUUUACAGGGGUAGGUCCAGAAGCAAUCAGCAUUGAAGCAGAUAGAUGAGUGCAGAAGAUUCACCUUACUAACAUAGCCUGGAUGAUCAUCAUCUUUCCCUCCUGCUGGCCUUGCUUCUGUAAAGGACGGAGGAAGAAUCGUGUCUUGAACAUUUUGGCAGCUCUCGAAACACCUGCAGAGACUCCUGCUAUGAAAGAAUACUGUCGAGUGGGUGAGCUGUGUAGUCCCCAAAGCACUUUACAGACACACUCUGUUGAUGAAAUGCCAGAUUCGCCCUGUGAACAGAAAUGGAAGAAGGCUUCCUGUCCAUGGGAGUCCGAGUCAACCAAGGAGGAGCUCCAGAUGGCUCACCCACGAGCAGGUCUUCUUGGAUGGUUCCGGGAGGAUUAAUUAGUCACCGCCACAAGUAUGAAGGCCAAAUCAAGAGGCAGUAUGGCAGAGAGGGAGGAUGAGAGCGGCUUGUGUGUGACACAGAUGGUGUCUCAUCCACGAUCUCUGCUCAGAAACACCGACAUGGGGAGGAGCCAGGUGUAUGCAACACAUCAGCUCAAAGACUCACAGUCCUGACUGCACAUGGGAGUCACUCGGAGAGCUUUCAGAAACACUAAUGCCUGGGCCCUCCCCUGGAGAUUCUAAAAAUCCCUGAGAAAUGGUCUCAUGGCCGGGGACGCCUGUCUAGCUACUUCUGAAGCCCACUCCGCCACACCCUGGGGGCCAAUAUGCUGGCCAAGGAAAACACGCCCGUGGACCAAAGCAAGGCUGCAGCUCAUUAAAGGCUGCUUACGCAACUACUCGGAUAAGAGUCCUGAGCUUGUGGUGCUGCUGGUGGGGAGUGUGGUAUGGAUCAGGCCCUCCAGGCAUGAGUAUUUUGUCCAGCAGUAGGAAAGUGCCUAAUACAAGAGCCCUCACCGAGAACCUAGCUACCACUUGUACCCUGAUCUCGAACUUCCAGCCUCCAGAAUUUCAAGACAUAAAGGCCUGUUGUUUGAGCCAUGCAAUCCAUCCCAUAUUUGUGAUAGCAGCCCAAACUGACUAAGACAUAAGGGUGAAAAUCUAAGGAAAGAGAAAGGAACAUUUCCAUAGGCUUUGUGAGUUCUCUGAAGCCCUUAUAUCGAUUCCUUUCACACAUGCGGAAUCUUGGUAUUCUCAAAAUGAAUGCUUCAGAGUCUCAGCUCUUGGAGAAUGAUGUGAAAGUGACACAGCCUGCGGUGACUAAUGACUCACCAGCUGAAGUGGUGUCCCUGAGGCUGGUGGGCAGCACUGAGUCAUCAAGAGUUGAGUGGGGUAAGUAGGGUUCUCGAAGUCCCCGCCCAGUGUGGCCAUUUGGUUCUCAGCUAUUACUUGGUUUCAUUUCGUCCUCACAUCCGCCCUCCGGGAUGGAAGCAGGGUGGUGUCCCUGGUGUUCACAGCUAUGCCACAGGUUCUCCUGCCUCUCCAGCAGGAGGAUCGUGCUUCCCUGCUCCCACUGACAUUGGGCUUCUCCAGCUAACUUGCUCUGGCCAACGAAGUGUGAGUGAAAGUGACCCAGUUUGUGUGCGGGGAAAUAUUUCAACUCUGUCUUCCGCUGCAGUGAUUUUGGAAGCUCGUGUUGUUAUAGAAGAGCUUUAAAACUUCCGGGAAGGCUGAACCAACUCGUGGAAAUCAGAAUCUUGGAGAAUAACCUGCACCUGGAGUAGAAAUUUACCAUGCAUGAGUGAUAAACUUUAGUUGUCUUAAGCAACUGAGAUGCUUAAUAAUAAUACAACUGCUGCUGUCUGACACAAGCAGAUAUUACUACCCUGAUUUUAAAGAUCAGGAAACUUUGUAAGGGAUUUGUGAAGGUAAAACUUUUAAAUCCAAAGUUAUUUAAGGCUUUUCUAUCUCUUUCCCAUAACUUAUGCUUCUUUCUCUUCCUUUUCUUCUUCUUUUUCCUUCUACCUCUAAACAGCACCCAAACUUCACCCAGAACCCCAUCUCCUGCUGACGUUGGUCCCCAUGCUGCUGGGACAAGGUCCCCAAAGAUGGAGAUUGUGCCAUGAAGAGUGGAGUAUACAGCAGAUGCUCAGUAGAAUUUCUUUAAUCAGAUUGCUCCCAACAGUGUCAUGCUUGCAUUACUUUUUUAUUUGGAGGUACAAAACAGCCUAUUAUGUAAUGAUUUGUCUUAAUUGGGAAAUCAAACAUUUUGAGAAAAAUAAAAUCUUUAUUAUAUUUAAAAAU